UACGAAGGGGGCGAGCGUUGUUCGGAAUUACUGGGCGUAAAGGGCGCGCAGGCGGCCUUAGAAGUCAGAUGUGAAAGCCCCGGGCUCAACCUGGGAAUGGCAUUUGAUACUCUGAGGCUGGAGUACGGGAGAGGAGAGUGGAAUUCCCAGUGUAGAGGUGAAAUUCGUAGAUAUUGGGAAGAACACCGGUGGCGAAGGCGGCUACUCUGGACCGUAACUGACGCUGAGGCGCGAAAGCG
rnacentral:rRNA from 1 species